UAUUUUUUUAAAAUAAGUUGCCAUUUAUGUUUUUGUUAUCGUUUGUAGUAGUUUAAGAGAAAAUAUAUUAAUUCCUUUAAAGUCUCUGUUUAUCCUUUAACAGAAGCAGUUCAUUUAGCCAAUCAAUUAUGCCAACACGGCUACUUUUUCCCAGUGAGCGAUUCUAGGUCUCUAGCAAUUAAAGAUGACGGUUCUCUAUACAGGUUUCAAGCUCCUUAUUUUUGGCCUUCUCAUCAUCAACCUGAUAAUACUGACUAUGGUA